GUAUGCGCAAUCACCUAUAUAACACCUCUUGUCAAUUGUUAAGUAUAUAUAUAACUGUACCUUCAAAGGACUUUUAAAAAGUAGUGACGGUGAUACGGAAUUCAUAUUAUAACAAUAUCCUAAAGUGCUGAUUUGAAUCAUGUCAGCUAAGCAGUACUACCAUGUACAGUGUACACCAACAGUUUAUCCUGCUGACCCUUUCAAUCCGGAAGAGGAUGCGGCUCUUUUACGAACUGCUAUGAAGGGUUUUGGUACAGAUGAACAAACAAUAAUUGAUGUCCUUGCUCAUCGUGGAAUUGUACAACGACUUGAAAUAGCUGAUAAAUUUAAAACAAUGUAUGGAAAAGACCUUAUUUCUGAAUUGAAAUCAGAACUUGGCGGUAAUUUCGAAAAGGCAAUUUUAGCAUUAAUGACACCAUUACCAGAACUUUAUGCUAAAGAACUUCAUAAAGCAAUUUCUGGAAUGGGCACUGAUGAAGGUGCUCUUAUUGAAGUAUUGGCAUCUCUUAGCAAUUAUGGCAUCAAGACUAUAUCUGCUGUCUAUAAAGAAUUGUAUGACAAUGACUUGGAAGAAGAUCUGAAAGGUGAAACAUCUGGUCACUUUAAGAGGCUGCUAGUGUCACUCUCAUGUGCUAAUAGAAAUGAAGAUACCGAUGUUGAUGAAGAAGCUGCAUAUUUGGAUGCAGAAAGGCUUCUUGAGGCUGGAGAGCUUCAGUGGGGAACAGACGAAAGUACCUUUAAUGCUAUUCUCGUAACUAAAAGCUAUCCUCAGCUACGAAAGAUUUUCCAGGAAUAUGAACGUCUUGCUGACCAUAGUUUGGAAGAUGCUAUUAAGAGAGAAUUUUCUGGAAGUCUUGAAGACGGCUAUCUUGCAGUUGUGAAAUGUGCACGAGAUAAAACUGCAUACUUUGCGGAAAGGUUAUACAAAGCUAUACGUGGAUUAGGUACAGAUGACGCAACGUUGAUACGCAUAAUUGUAGCCCGAUCGGAAAUUGAUUUGGGAGAUAUUAAGGAAAUUUAUCAAAAAAUGUAUGGACAAUCACUUGCAGGAGAUAUUGACGAUGACUGUUCGGGAGACUACAAGAGGCUCUUGCAUGCGCUACUUGGAUGAACACAUUUCAUGUUCAACAACUCAUUUUAUUUUUAAAUCGUACUUUAAUAUCAAGGAUGAUUCUUUGCGAUAUUCUGCAGAGAUUUGUAGAUGCAUUAAUUUUAAUUUGAUCUGAAUUACAUCGAUAAUUAGCAAGUGACUGCAGCGAAGAG